GAUGAAGAACGCAGCGAAAUGCGAUACGUAAUGUGAAUUGCAGAAUUCAGUGAAUCAUCGAGUCUUUGAACGCACAUUGCGCCCCCUGGUAUUCCGGGGGGCAUGCCUGUCCGAGCGUCAUUGCUGCCCUCAAGCACGGCUUGUGUGUUGGGCCUCCGUCCUCCUCCCGGGGGACGGGCCCGAAAGGCAGCGGCGGCACCGCGUCCGGUCCUCGAGCGUAUGGGGCUUCGUCACCCGCUCUUGUAGGCCCGGCCGGCGCUUGCCGACACAUCAAUCUUUUUUCCAGGUUUACCUCGGAUCAGGUAGGGAUACCCGCUGAACUUAAGCAUAUCAAUAAGCGGAGGA
rnacentral:misc_RNA from 1 species